UGCAGAGUAGAGAAGUGGACUAUCUCGUCGGGUUCAUAUCCCGAAGAUCGAAGGUUCGAAUCCUUCCUCAGCAA
rnacentral:tRNA from 1 species